GCCAGACUCCUACGGGAGGCAGCAGUGGGGAAUAUUGCACAAUGGGGGGAACCCUGACGCAGCGACGCCGCGUGGGUGAAGGAGCACCUCGGUGCGUAAAGCCCUCUCGGCAGGGAAGAAACAGACGGUACCUGACUAAGAAGCCCCGGCUAACUACGUGCCAGCAGCCGCGGUAAUACGUAGGGGGCAAGCGUUAUCCGGAUUUACUGGGUGUAAAGGGAGCGUAGACGGCAGUGCAAGUCUGGAGUGAAAGGCGGGGGCUCAACCCCCGGACUGCUCUGGAAACUGUACGGCUGGAGUGCAGGAGAGGCAAGUGGAAUUCCUAGUGUAGCGGUGAAAUGCGUAGAUAUUAGGAGGAACACCAGUGGCGAAGGCGGCCUGCUGGGCUUUUACUGACGCUGAGGCUCGAAAGUGUGGGGAGCAAACAGGAUUAGAUACCCUUGUAU
rnacentral:rRNA from 1 species